rnacentral:snRNA from 1 species
CAAGGCAGAUGCCCUACUUGCUGUGCAUCCCUCCCGAAGCUGCAAGCUCGGUCAAAGAGGACAGCCUUCCGGAAUAGAGAAGGACCGGUAUUCGGUCGAGGGUAUACGAGUAGGUGCGCUGCCCUGCCAGAACCUCCAAACAAGCUCUCAAGGAUAUGUAGAUGUGAAACACAAAGCACUGGGUGGAUGUGCUAUCUCAAGGAGCCCCACCUGGUGAUAUGCUACGGAGA